rnacentral:rRNA from 1 species
GAUGAACGCUAGCGGCAGGCCUAACACAUGCAAGUCGAGGGGCAGCACAUAAAGUGGGUUACUACUUUUGGUGGCGACCGGCGGACGGGUGCGUAACGCGUAUGCAACCUGCCUCCAACAGGGGGAUAACGGAGAGAAAUUUCCACUAAUACCCCAUAAUAUCAGAAUCGGCAUCGGUUUUGGUUGAAAACUCCGGUGGUUGGAGAUGGGCAUGCGUUGUAUUAGAUAGGUGGUGAGGUAACGGCUCACCAAGUCAACGAUACAUAGGGGGACUGAGAGGUUAGCCCCCCACACUGGUACUGAGACACGGACCAGACUCCUACGGGAGGCAGCAGUGAGGAAUAUUGGUCAAUGGGGGCAACCCUGAACCAGCCAUGCCGCGUGCAGGAAGACGGCUCUAUGAGUUGUAAACUGCUUUUACAAGGGGAUAAAUCGGUGUACGUGUACACCGUUGAAGGUACCUUGGGAAUAAGGAUCGGCUAACUCCGUGCCAGCAGCCGCCGUAA